GUGAAUCAUCGAAUUUUUGAACACAAAUUGCACUCUCCGGUUUUCCGAGAGAGUAUGCCUGUUUGAGGGUCAGCCUAAAAAAAAUCGACAUAGUUGCUGUUUCGCGGUGACAUUCGUCGGAAAUUGGGUCAUCUUAAACUUUGGGGCUUUAAGCGGCUUAAAAUUUUCUUUACGAUACCACGAACGUUUCUAAGAUUUACUUACACGUUUAAGGUAUCGAUAUUUACUAGACGUGGCCGUUGUAUCGGAUCGCGUCCAUUAAUAUUUCGUUAUCUGACCUCAUACAG
rnacentral:misc_RNA from 1 species